CGUAGGUAAUCUACCUUUGAGUGGGGAAUAACAAUCGGAAGCGAUUGCUAAUACCGCAUAAUGCAGCGGCAUCGCAAGAUGACAGUUGUUAAAGGAGCAAUCCGCUUAAAGAGGAGCCUGCGGCAGAUUAGCUAGUUGGUAAGGUAAUGGCUUACCAAGGCUACGAUCUGUAACCGACCUGAGAGGGUGGUCGGUCACACUGACACUGAAUAACGGGUCAG
rnacentral:rRNA from 1 species